rnacentral:rRNA from 1 species
CGCCUCUAGCAAGACCAACAUUAGAGGUACUGCCUGCCCAGUGAAAACAUUUAACGGCCGCGGUAUUUUGACCGUGCAAAGGUAGCAUAAUCACUUGUCUUCUAAAUAAAGACUAGUAUGAACGGCAAAACGAAAGUUUAACUGUCUCCUUUAUCUACUCAAUGAAAUUGAUCACACAGUACAAAAGCUGUAAUAAAACAACAAGACGAGAAGACCCUAUGGAGCUUAAAACACACUAGAAAAUGCAAUUAUCAAUUUCAUGCAUCAAUUCCACACUGUUUUUGGUUGGGGCGACCACGGAGAACACCUACCCUCCGAGAUGUAUAUGCUAGGGACCAGUCCAAACAUCAGAAAACUGACAUAAUUGACCCAAUACUUUGACCAACGAACCAAGUUACCCUAGGGAUAACAGCGCAAUCCUCUUUAAGAGCCCAUAUCGACAAGAGGGCUUACGACCUCGAUGUUGGAUCAGGAUAACCUGACAGUGUAACCGCCGUCAAAGGUUUGUUUGUUCAACAAUUAAAAUCCU